rnacentral:rRNA from 1 species
GACGAACGCUGGCGGCGUGCUUAACACAUGCAAGUCGAGCGAGGCCCCUCCUUCGGGAGGGUGUCCUAGCGGCGAACGGGUGAGUAACACGUGGGCAACCUGCCCUCAGCUCUGGGAUAACUCCGGUAAACCGGGGCUAAUACCGGAUACGACCUCCACGGGCAUCUGCGGAGGUGGAAAGUUUUUCGGCUGAGGAUGGGCCCGCGGCCUAUCAGCUAGUUGGUGGGGUAGUGGCCCACCAAGGCGACGACGGGUAGCCGGCCUGAGAUGGCGACCGGCCACACUGGGACUGAGACACGGCCCAGACUCCUACGGGAGGCAGCAGUGGGGAAUAUUGCGCAAUGGGCGAAAGCCUGACGCAGCGACGCCGCGUGAGGGACGAAGGCCUUCGGGUUGUAAACCUCUUUCAGCAGGGACGAAGCGAAAGUGACGGUACCUGCAGAAGAAGCACCGGCCAACUACGUG